GACGAACGCUGGCGGCGUGCCUAAUACAUGCAAGUCGAACGCUGAAGGAGGAGCUUGCUCUUCUGGAUGAGUUGCGAACGGGUGAGUAACGCGUAGGUAACCUGUCUGGUAGCGGGGGAUAACUAUUGGAAACGAUAGCUAAUACCGCAUAACAGUAGAUGUUGCAUGACAUUUACUUAAAAGGUGCAAUUGCAUCACUACCAGAUGGACCUGCGUUGUAUUAGCUAGUUGGUGGGGUAACGGCUCACCAAGGCGACGAUACAUAGCCGACCUGAGAGGGUGAUCGGCCACACUGGGACUGAGACACGGCCCAGACUCCUACGGGAGGCAGCAGUAGGGAAUCUUCGGUAAUGGACGGAAGUCUGACCGAGCAACGCCGCGUGAGUGAAGAAGGUUUUCGGAUCGUAAAGCUCUGUUGUAAGAGAAGAACGAGUGUGAGAGUGGAAAGUUCACACUGUGACGGUAUCUUACCAGAAAGGGACGGCUAACUACGUG
rnacentral:rRNA from 1 species